UAGGGAAUCUUCGGCAAUGGGGGGAACCCUGCCCGAGCAACGCUGCGUGAGUGAAGAAGGUUUUCGGACCGUAAUGCUCUGUUGUUCCGGAAGAACGAGUGUGAGAAUGUAAAGUUCAUGCUGUGACCGUACUUAACCAGAAAGGGACGGCUAACUACGUGCCAGCAGCCGCGGUAAUACGUAGGUCUUGCUCGCUGUUCGGAUUUAUUUGGCGUAAUGCGAGCGCAGGCGGUUAGAAAAGUCUGAAGUGAAAGGCAGUGGCUCAACCAGUGUAGGCUUUAGAAACUGUGUAACAUGGGUGCAGAAGGGGAGAGUGGAAUUCCAUGUGUAGCGGUGAAAGGCGUAGAUAGAUGGAGGAACACCGGUGGCGAAAGCGGCUCUCUGGUCGGAAACUGACGAUGAGGCUCGAAAGCGUGGGGAGCGAACAGG
rnacentral:rRNA from 1 species